rnacentral:lncRNA from 1 species
UUUUCUGUUUUAUUUUAAAUGCAUUUUUUAAAAUUAAAGUAUAGUUGAUUUACAAUGUUGUGUCAAUUUCUGUUGUAUAGCAAAUUGACCCAGUCAUCCAUAUAUACAUUGUUCACCUUAUAUUAUUUUCCAUCAUGUUCUCUUCUAAGAGAUUGGAUAUAGUUUCUUGUACUAUACAGUAGGACCUCAUUGUUUAUCCAUUCUAAUCCCUUUGAUCUUCUUUUGAUUCUUUCAUGUAAGUUUUAUUUAUUUAUUUAUUUAUUGCUAUUUCUUUGGGCCGCUCCCACAGCAUAUGGAGGUGCAGCCAAUUUAUUAUUAAAUCUGUUUCUUGUUUUUGGUGUUGUAAAUGAAUAGGUCUGAUCUAUAAAAUUUUUCUAGCUCGUUACCACAAGGUCUUUUGAUUUUGCAUGUUAAUUUUAUAUUCUACUAACUAAAUUAUUUUAUAAUAUUCUGCUGUUACUAAAUCAUUUUACUGUUUAUAUUGGUGUUUAUAUUUGUUAAUAUUAUUUUUUGUGGCUCUUUGGGUAAAGAUUCAUAUCUUCAAAUUAGCAUACUGCUACUUCUUUCAACACUUUUGCCUUGAAUUAGUUUAUUUCCUCUGGUUGUAAUGGCUAAUACUUCCAACAUAAUGUGAAGUAAUAGUGAAGAUAGCUGGAACAUUCCUGUACUUUUUUUGUCUUUAAUCAGAAAGCAUCCAAUGUAUCCUCAUUAAGUAAUAUGCUGACUUUUAGACUAAACUAUAUAUAUACAGCAUAACAUGUUAUCAAGAACAUCCAAUGAUUUCUUUUUAUAUUAUGCAUUGUUAUCACGAAACAAUAAAAUAUCAGUAUCUCACACUCAAAUGUAAACAAAAAGAUCACUAGAUAAUUUGAAGAAUGACUUUGAAAGUAAAAGGGUUCUCCAAAAUAAAACAAAUAAUAAACUAACAAAAAAAGCAGGACCACAGAAAAUAUGAACAAUAUACAAAGCAGAAGAAAACUGUGGGAGAACUACAUUGAAAAUCUAGAGAAACUAAGACAGAAAUCACUUCAUUUUCUGAAACAAUAUCGUGAGGAUAUUUUAAAAAUGAACAAAAAAAGGAAGAAUAGAAUAAAAGUAUUUUAUGACAUACUAUCUUAAAAAAAUUAACUCUCUUGAUCCCUUUCUUGGGACGCUACCAGAGGUUAUACUCUACUAAAAAACAGAGAGUAAACAAAGAAAGAUGAUGAACAGGAUCUAUGGCACUAGGGGUCAAACACAGAAGAAUAGAGAGAGGUCUUUGGAGAGUAGCUGCAUAUCAGGGUCAAGAAGAAGCAUUCUAGAAGGUGGUAUGUAUGAAAACAGAUUGAAAUUCUCUCUUUUUUUUUUUUUUUUUUUUUUUUGUCUCUUUAGGACUGCAUCCACAGCAUAUGGAGGUU